UAUGUCUCCGUACGGGGAAGGAUGAGAAGCUUCGACUAAGGUUCGAUUCGAGCGCAGCGAGAAAGCGUUGCCGCAGGCAACGGCCCGAAGGGCGAAGCGCGCAGCGCUGAGUCAUCCUUCCCCCACCACCA
rnacentral:sRNA from 4 species